rnacentral:rRNA from 1 species
AACGAACGCUGGCGGCAUGCCUAACACAUGCAAGUCGAACGAGACCUUCGGGUCUAGUGGCGCACGGGUGCGUAACGCGUGGGAACCUGCCCUUAGGUUCGGAAUAACUCCCCGAAAGGGGUGCUAAUACCGGAUAAUGUCUUCGGACCAAAGAUUUAUCGCCUUUGGAUGGGCCCGCGUUGGAUUAGCUAGUUGGUAGUGUAAAAGCCUACCAAGGCGACGAUCCAUAGCUGGUCUGAGAGGAUGAUCAGCCACACUGGGACUGAGACACGGCCCAGACUCCUACGAGAGGCAGCAGUGGGGAAUAUUGGACAAUGGGCGAAAGACUGAUCCAGCAAUGCCGCGUGAGUGAUGAAGGCCUUAGGGUUGUAAAGCUCUUUUACCCGGGAUGAUAAUGACAGUACCGGGAGAAUAAGCUCCGGCUAACUCCGUG